AUUGAACGCUGGCGGCAUGCCUUACACAUGCAAGUCGAACGGCAGCGGACCUUCGGGUGCCGGCGAGUGGCGAACGGGUGAGUAAUACAUCGGAACGUGCCCGAUCGUGGGGGAUAACGCAGCGAAAGCUGUGCUAAUACCGCAUACGAUCUACGGAUGAAAGCGGGGGAUCGCAAGACCUCGCGCGGACGGAGCGGCCGAUGGCAGAUUAGGUAGUUGGUGGGAUAAAAGCUUACCAAGCCGACGAUCUGUAGCUGGUCUGAGAGGACGACCAGCCACACUGGGACUGAGACACGGCCCAGACUCCUACGGGAGGCAGCAGUGGGGAAUUUUGGACAAUGGGCGCAAGCCUGAUCCAGCAAUGCCGCGUGCAGGAAGAAGGCCUUCGGGUUGUAAACUGCUUUUGUACGGAACGAAACGGUCCGGGUUAAUACCCUGGGCUAAUGACGGUACCGUAAGAAUAAGCACCGGCUAACUACGUGCCAGCCGCCGCAGUAAAAC
rnacentral:rRNA from 1 species